rnacentral:rRNA from 1 species
GAUGAACGCUAGCGGCAGGCCUAAUACAUGCAAGUCGAGGGGCAGCAUUAGUACUUGUACUAGAUGGCGACCGGCGCACGGGUGCGUAACGCGUAUGCAACCUACCCAUUACAGGGGGAUAGCCCAGAGAAAUUUGGAUUAAUACCCCAUGUUACCAUAAUGUGGCAUCAUAUAAUGGUCAAAGAUUCAUCGGUAAUGGAUGGGCAUGCGUUAGAUUAGCUAGUUGGUAAGGUAACGGCUUACCAAGGCUACGAUCUAUAGGGGACCUGAGAGGGUGAUCCCCCACACUGGUACUGAGAUACGGACCAGACUCCUACGGGAGGCAGCAGUAGGGAAUAUUGGUCAAUGGAGGAGACUCUGAACCAGCCAUGCCGCGUGCAGGAAGACGGCCUUCUGGGUUGUAAACUGCUUUUGACAGGGAAGAAAACGUCCAUGCGUGGAUAACUGACGGUACCUGUAGAAUAAGCACCGGCUAACUCCG